rnacentral:rRNA from 1 species
UACGAAGGGGGCUAGCGUUGUUCGGAAUUACUGGGCGUAAAGCGCGUGUAGGCGGGUCCUUAAGUCAGGGGUGAAAUGCCAAGGCUCAACCUUGGAACUGCCUUUGAUACUGGAGACCUUGAGUCCGGGAGAGGUGAGUGGAAUUGCGAGUGUAGAGGUGAAAUUCGUAGAUAUUCGCAAGAACACCAGUGGCGAAGGCGGGUCUCUGGACAGUUCCUGACGCUGAGGCACGAAGGCCAGGGGAGCAAACAGG